CUACGGGUGGCUGCAGUGGGGAAUAUUGCGCAAUGGAGGAAACUCUGACGCAGCCAUGCCGCGUGAGUGAAGAAGGCCUUAGGGUUGUAAAGCUCUUUCAGAUGCGAUGAUGAUGGCAGUAGCAUCAAAAGAAGUUCCGGCUAACUUCGUGCCAGCAGCCGCGGUAAUACGAAGGGAACUAGCGUUGUUCGGAUUUACUGGGCGUAAAGAGCAUGUAGGCGGAUUGGUCAGUUGGGGGUGAAAUCCCGGAGCUCAACUCCGGAACUGCCUCCAAUACUGCCAGUCUAGAGUCCGUAAGGGGGUGGUGGAAUUCCGAGUGUAGAGGUGAAAUUCGUAGAUAUUCGGAGGAACACCAGUGGCGAAGGCGACCACCUGGUACGGUACUGACGCUGAGAUGCGAAAGCGUGGGGAGCAAACAGGAUUAGAUACCCCGGUAGUC
rnacentral:rRNA from 1 species